rnacentral:rRNA from 1 species
GGUCCUACGGGGCGCAGCAGUGGGGAAUAUUGCACAAUGGGGGAAACCCUGAUGCAGCGACGCCGCGUGAGUGAAGAAGUAUUUCGGUAUGUAAAGCUCUAUCAGCAGGGAAGAUAAUGUCGGUACCCGACUAAGAAGCCCCGGCUAACUACGUGCCAGCAGCCGCGGUAAUACGUAGGGGGCAAGCGUUAUCCGGAUUUACUGGGUGUAAAGGGUGCGUAGGUGGCAGGGCAAGUCAGAUGUGAAAGCCCGGGGCUCAACCCCGGUACUGCAUUUGAAACUGUUGAACUUGAGUGCAGAAGAGG